rnacentral:rRNA from 1 species
UACGAAGGGGGCUAGCGUUGCUCGGAAUCACUGGGCGUAAAGCGCACGUAGGCGGAUUGUUAAGUCAGGGGUGAAAUCCUGGAGCUCAACUCCAGAACUGCCUUUGAUACUGGCGAUCUCGAGUCCGGGAGAGGUGAGUGGAACUGCGAGUGUAGAGGUGAAAUUCGUAGAUAUUCGCAAGAACACCAGUGGCGAAGGCGGCUCACUGGCCCGGUACUGACGCUGAGGUGCGAAAGCGUGGGAGCAACAGGG